rnacentral:rRNA from 1 species
GAUGAACGCUGGCGGCGUGCCUAAUACAUGCAAGUCGAGCGAACAGACGAGGAGCUUUCUCCUUUGACGUUAGCGGCGGACGGGUGAGUAAGACGUAUGUAACCUACCUAUAAGACUGGGAUAACUUCGGGAAACCGGAGCUAAUACCGGAUAAUAUUUCGAACCGCAUGGUUCGAUAGUGAAAGAUGGCUUUGCUAUCACUUAUAGAUGGACCUGCGCCGUAUUAGCUAGUUGGUAAGGAAACGGCUUACCAAGGCAACGAUACGUAGCCGACCUGAGAGGGUGCACGGCCACAGUGAAACUGAGACACGGUACAGACUCCUACGAGAGGCAGCAGUAGAAUAUCGUCCGAAAUGGGCGAAAGCCUGACGGAGCAACGGCGCGUGAGUGAUGAAGGUCUUCGGAGCGUAAAACUCUGUUAUUAGAGAAGAAGAAACGUGUAAGUAACUGUGCACGUCUUGACGGUACCUAAUAAGAAAGCCACGGCGAACUACG